GACGAACCGAGCGAACGUUGUUCGGAAUAACUGGGCUUAAAGGGCGCGUAGGCGGGCCGCCAAGUUCGAGGUGAAAUCCUCCGGCUCAACCGGAGAACUGCCUCAAAUACUGGAGGCCUCGAGGCGGGUAGGGGCACGCGGAACUGUGGGUGGAGCGGUGAAAUGCGUUGAUAUCCACAGGAACUCCGGUGGCGAAGGCGGCGUGCUGGACCCGAUCUGACGCUGAGGCGCGAAAGCCAGGGGAGCAAACGGG
rnacentral:rRNA from 1 species